AAUGGGGCGGAUGGAGCUGCAGCUCCAGGCCCCCCACUGAAAAUAGGCCCACAGGAUCUCCUGCAGUGCUGCCAGUGUUGACAGGGAAAAGUUUUUCCUGUCACCACCAGCAGCUCACUCCCUUCCCUCACCUCAGCCAGCCGACAAAACUCCUUCCUAUCUCACAGUCAGACUCUGGGCCACCCGACCUGUAAGAAGCUCCGGCCCCGUUUUUGCGAAAGCUCCACCUCGCACACCAGACAAGCGGCGCCUCCCUCACCUGACAGAGACUCCACCUCCCGCAGCAGAAGCUCCCCCACAGCCGUCAGAAGCUCCGCCCACAGUACCCGACAGAAGCCCCGCCUCCCGCAGCCGUCAGAAGCUCCGCCCCUGCCCCCUUCCAGAAGCUCCCGCUCCCCGACAGAAGCUUCUCCUCCAGCAGCCGUCAGAAACUCCACAGCCAUCAGUAGCUCCGCCUCCUGCACCCGUCAGAAACUCUGCCUCCCGCACCUGUCACAAGCCCGCCUCCUGUACCAGUUGGAAGUUUGGAAGCUCCGCAGUCACGAUGUCCGGGUCAUCUUGCUUGAUUGACUGAGCACCGGGACCGUGUGGCGCUGGCGAAACAAAUCUCUUACAUUGGUGAACUCUGGUCUACAGGAACAGAAGGUGGCUUUCCAUAAUCUGAGCAGCGCUCCUGUCACACACCGGCCACCACAGUGCCCCAUCCAGGGGUGUUUUAAGAGAGGAGGCAGCCAUUUUGGGACAGAUUUUUGACACUACUGCUGCGGCUUCAUUGCCCAUCACGGGACUCCGGAAAGAUGAGUUUUAACACAGCAUGGGUGCAGUGUGUGUGGUGUGGGCCCCCCUGGCACCGCACACAUUGCACCCAUGGUAGAAACGCCAAUGGCCCCAUCCGAUGCGCAAGAUGACUGCAAUUAACUGCUCCAACUGCCACUCUGCCUGACGCCUCUUUUGCAGCACAAGCUCUCUGUUCCCUGCCAGAGCCGCAUGUCACUCUCAGUAGCCGGCAUGUGGGUGAGAGUUUCUUCUCACAACGUGCCAGCUCUGUAGCUACUGUCACACCAUGACCCCACAACACGAUGUCAUGAUGCCAUGGAAGAGGCAGCCGUGAUAACUGAUCACCUGGGGUGUCCAGAGCGUGGUAUGCAGCUCUCCAGGCGGCAGGGUGUUGUACCAGACUGCCUGCAAUCCAAAUACAGGUUCCAUUAGACAGCACUGUUUCCAUCCCCUAUGGGCGGGUGAGUCAGCCUCACACCCUUAAUUAUGGCCCCGGGUGUAAAAUCCUUUGUAUUUGGUGAGCAAUAGAUUGAUAUGAUGGCACUGGCAGAUCAGCGGUGAGUAGAUGCUGUGUAUAUAUGCACAGAAUUUAUUCAAGGGAAGGAGGGACCUGAUUGUAUGCAUGCCCCCACACUAAUGAAAACAUGGACAUUGCACAUAGACACAGCAUUCCCAUGAGGCUAUGCCCCCUAGCCACGAGGCCACACCCGGUAAUUUGGGCGAAUGUCCCUCUUCUGGCUGGCAAGAAGGAGGGAGCUAUAUGACAGCCGCAGUGUCUCAUGUCUGCACCGUAUGUAACAGAAUAGAAAAUAAUCAUGUCCUGUGGUCAUUUUUCUGUAAAGUGGGUGCAGUGUUCAGUGGCUAUAGUGUAUAUAAUGUAAUAAAAUGAU